rnacentral:rRNA from 1 species
GACAGAGGUGCCAAGCGUUAGGCGGAAUCACUGGGCUUAAAGCGUGUGUAGGCGGAUCGUUAAGUACCUUGUGAAAUCCCACGGCUCAACCGUGGAACGGCGCGGGAAACUAGCAGGCUUGAGUUCGGGAGAGGGAAGCGGAAUUCCGGGUGUAGCGGUGAAAUGCGCAGAUAUCCGGAGGAACACCGGUGGCGAAAGCGGCUCACUGGACCGUUUCUGACGCUGAGGUGCGAAAGCUAGGGGAGCAAACGGG